rnacentral:rRNA from 1 species
UCUACGGGUGGCAGCAGUGGGGAAUAUUGCACAAUGGGGGAAACCCUGAUGCAGCGACGCCGCGUGAGUGAAGAAGUAAUUCGUUAUGUAAACCUCUAUCAGCAGGGAAGAAAAUGACGGUACCUGAGUAAGACGCCCCGGCGAACUACGCGCCAGCAGGCGCCGUAACACGCAGGGGGCACGCGUAAUCGGCAUUUACCGGGGGCAAAGGGAGCGUAGACGGCAGUGCAAGUCUGGAGUGAAAGGCGGGGGCUCAACCCCCGGACUGCCCGGGAAACUGUACGGCUGGAGUGCGGGAGAGGUAGGUGGAAUUGCUGGUGUAGCGGUGAAAUGCGUAGAUAUUAGGAGGAACACCAGUGGCGAAGGCGGCUGACUGGACUGUAACUGACGUUGAGGCUCGAAAGCGUGGGGAGCAAACAGGAUUAGAUACCCUAGUAGUG